GGUUAAGCGACUAAGCGUACACGGUGGAUGCCCUGGCAGUCAGAGGCGAUGAAGGACGUGCUAAUCUGCGAUAAGCGUCGGUAAGGUGAUAUGAACCGUUAUAACCGGCGAUUUCCGAAUGGGGAAACCCAGUGUGAUUCGUCACACUAUCAUUAACUGAAUCCAUAGGUUAAUGAGGCGAACCGGGGGAACUGAAACAUCUAAGUACCCCGAGGAAA
rnacentral:rRNA from 1 species